GACGGACGCUGGCGGCGUGCUUAACACAUGCAAGUCGAACGGAAAGGCCCCAGCUUGCUGGGGUACUCGAGUGGCGAACGGGUGAGUAACACGUGGGUGAUCUGCCCUGCACUCUGGGAUAAGCCUGGGAAACUGGGUCUAAUACCGGAUAGGACCGUGCUUUAGUGUGUGCGGUGGAAAGUUUUUCGGUGCAGGAUGAGCCCGCGGCCUAUCAGCUUGUUGGUGGGGUAAUGGCCUACCAAGGCGGCGACGGGUAGCCGGCCUGAGAGGGUGUACGGCCACAUUGGGACUGAGACACGGCCCAGACUCCUACGGGAGGCAGCAGUGGGGAAUAUUGCACAAUGGGCGCAAGCCUGAUGCAGCGACGCCGCGUGGGGGAUGACGGCCUUCGGGUUGUAAACCCCUUUCGGCAGGGACGAAGCUUUUGGGACGGUACCUGCAUAAGAAGCACCGGCUAACUACGU
rnacentral:rRNA from 1 species